rnacentral:snRNA from 1 species
GGAUGUGAGGGCGAUCUGGCUGCGACAUCUGUCACCCCAUUGAUCACCAGGGUUGAUUCGGCUGAUCUGGCUGGCUAGGCGGGUGUCCCCUUCCUCCCUCACCGCUCCAUGUGCGUCCCUCCCGAAGCUGCGCACUCGGUCCAAGAGGACGACCAUCCCCGAUAGAGGAGGACCGUUCUUCGGUCAAGGGUAUACGAGUAGCUGCACUCCCCUGCUAGAACCUCCAAACAAGCUCUCAAAAAUAGACAUGUCUCCAAAGAAGACAUAAAGAUGGCUGACACAUGAAAAGAUACUCAACUCAAAGUUGAGUACU